rnacentral:lncRNA from 1 species
UGAUGCCAUGCAACCCAAAUGGACCAUGCCGGGUCGGGUCAAGUCUUACCAAUUAUAGUUAUGGACUUAGACAUUAAUCCAACAGUCUCCCACUUGGAUAAGUCUAAAACUAUUAUUGCGUAUGACUUCAAGAACCGACUGGCAAUCGUAGCUCUCAAAAGCUUCCGUCGAACUCUGACCUUGCCGAUGAUCUCUGACCUUUGUCAAUGACUUGUCCAUUAGAUAAGGGAUCAUAUAUUCCUCCAUUCUAGAUAUCAUAUGGACUGAGACAUGGAUUAUAAUCAUUCUCUCUGUCCAUUUGUUGUUUCCCGAUUUCCGAUUUAUGACGACUGACUAAUUGAACAAAUCAAAUCAGUCCUGGCCCGGCCGAGCACUUCCAUUUGUCAUCAUCAAAUCAUCGAGGGGCCCACAGAUAUCGCUUUUAUCCCGAAGGUAAAAGGAAUGGAUAAACUUCGACUCAUAUGGCUUGUUCUACUACUUGUUGAAUCAUACACAAAGGCACGUUUUAUAGCACCGAGUUACCAAAUGCGUUUUCGUGCAAUCAAUGUACUAUCAACUCAUAGUAACAACUCAUAUCUCUAGGUUUGAAGAAUAUAAGAUAUUAUCGUCUCAUGAUCACUCGUGAUAAAAUCCAUGAAGUGAUUCCAAUGAGCGCGGGUUGAAUCCAAUACUCAGAACUUAUGAGCACUCAUGAGUGUUGUAGCCCUUUGUCCAACACCUUAGACCUCUACAAGCCAACCCAUGACAGUCUUAAUUCAUAUCUACUUCCAACAUAUGACCGACUGUGGAUGGUUUGAAUAACUUAGUCAUUCCGGAAGAAUAACCCAGUUUAUUCGGGAAGUCAAAACAUGCAAAAUGAAACACAAUAAUAAUUGAAUCCAAUAUGGUAUCAACCCUUUGAACAUAAAUAAAACACCUUUUAUUUAUCACCAUAUGAUUACACAUUAUUCAUUGUAUACUGUUUCAGCUAUCAACUUUAUUCUUGAAUUUAAAACAAUAGUUGUCCCAUGCUCCAAGCAUGUACACUAUGUUUUCUUAAACACUAGUCAUGCCACACACCAAGUAUGCAUACUAUGUUUGUCUAUGAUCUUUACUUUGUGAACUAGAUCAAUUGAACAUAACUUCAAUGAUUCUCUUUUCACACUCCCAAAUCCUUACUGCAAAUGCAAGAAUUCCAAAUUCAUGCCAUUUACUGAAAUCUGUUAGAUUCUAAACUUAUAUGCAUUGAUCCUCUUGUAAUGAUUAUGCACAAAGUCACAAAGACUUGGCAACAAUCAUUACAGAGUAUUCCAAAGGAGAUCAACUCCUUGGAAAUAUCCUUCUUGCAUUAAGUUUCCUUAAUCUUACACAGAUUGAAAAUUCUAACUUUGAAACAUUUCCAGAUUCCAUUUUGACUAUCACUUCUGAACAAGAGUUGCCUCCUUACAGAUUAUGUCAAUAUGGUCCUUCCAGAAUUAUCACUAUACUUCCAAUUGUCCUUGAGCAACCAAUCUUUGGUAAACCUUAGAUUGUCCUCGACAAUUGUUUAAUCCUUUUAGUCAUAUCCAGUUCUAAACCUUUUCCCUUCUUAAUGCCCCAGGCAUUUGGAAAAUUUUAGAACGGAUGAAUAUAGCACAUGUAAUCGAUCCUAUAUCCGAAGCAUAUGGGACACGAUUCAUGAUGUCUUACAUAAAGACUAAACCAGUCUUUUGCUAUAAUAUUUCCAUUUCAAUUUGCCAAGUUCUCAUAAUUCAGAUUAUGAAAAGGGAUGCCGUAAUCAUAAUCGAAUUUUAGAACGCAAAUAAUGGACCCAUAUACAGAAUUUCCUUAUGUUGAGCCAUUCCAACAUGAAAUUCAUAUAUAUCCUUGACUAAAUGAUUAAAACCUCACGAUCUAAGCUUAUAGAUUUGAGAUGAAGCAUAAUUUCCUCUCCCUUAAUUAUAGCAAAACAACUUUUUCCCAAUUGAAACUUUUGUUUUCUAUAAUUAACAUUGCUAACUUGCAAUACUUAUCAUAAUUAUCAUGCUCCCACUAACAUGAUGAUUAUUAGCAUAACACUUAUGCUCCCACUAGCUUUGACAUGUACUCAGAAAUCAGCUGACUUUCUUACCAAAGUUCAGAUUUCUGAUACUAGAUUGUUUUGAUAAAACUUUAUCAAAAUCAUACACCUUCCCUUAGAUAGCACACUUGUGAGUCUAAACAAUUAUGAAGAGGUAUGCCGUAAUCAUAAUGGUUAGACCUUUUUGCCACUUCUCACAAGUCCAUGUUAGUGUGCCGGUUAACCACACGCGCUCCACUAACGACUUUGAGAAUGCAAAUAUCACAAUUGCUAUCUAGCUAAAAUCUACUUAGUGAAAGUGUUUCCUCACCAUCAUUUUCAUGAAUCGGAGAGAAACCUUAUGACACUUAGAUUUAUAUGGUGUAUGAGUUCCUACCCAUAUGAAUUUGUCAAACCAUAAUCACAAGACAAAGAUAAUGACAAAUCCAAAACCAUAUGGAUUGAACUCAAUCUUAACUUCUUGCCACCUGGCAAGUAAAGGGCCUGCCAUUGCUUCCAAGUUGUUAUGCAACCAAUUGAGAACUCUAAGAACUCAUAUGCAAAGCCAACUUUAACUGGAAUGGGCACAAAAUAUGUCAACACGAUAGGUUAUAAACCUCAAGUCGUGUGCUAGUGAAGAACUUCAGGUUUUAUUCUUGAUUAGUUCUUGAGACUUUCAAGACCUUUAAGACUCCCACUGUCCUCUUGACAUAUAAGACUCUCUUGUAAAAUAUUCAAGGGAUAGUGCGGAUUCUUUAUCAAGACAAACACUUCACACAAUUGGCCUAAGUUGGUCUUUGUUUUAUCCAAAACAUCACAACUUAUCAACUUCAAAUGUACAAGAGUAUGACACUUUUACUCUUACAUUUGACACGUGUUUUUAAACCUUUCUUUAAGAUAUGUCACUCAAGUUACAGUCUUAGAGUAUAACUCUAAGGAUUGUUUUGGAACGAAGUAUGACUCAUCUUCUUGAUUUAACCACUUCAACAAUUCAUAACUCCUCUUCUUAGCUAUCAGAAUGCACUUAGAGGAUGAAUUGUGAUAAGGUCUCUUAAUCAUUAAGAUGAUCAUAUAACAUGAUACUAAAGUACUCUCCCAUCUUUUCAGAUUUGAGAAACUUUUAUCCUUCUGCCUAAUUUGAUUCUUCUCAUUCGUUCUACCAUACAUCGAGACUUUUCCAAUGAUUCAUAAUUAUACUUAGACUUAUAAGUAUAACCAUAUUUACUAAACUUUAGUAAAUCAUGAUGAAUAGUCUUAUCGAUUAUUUGUGGUGGGCUUGAUCAGUGCACAAGGAUGUGUACUCGAUCCCUUAGUCCUUUACUUGACUCACACAUCCAUGUGAACAAGUAAUUAGUCUUAAUUUUCCAAUGCUUGAAAGUUCUCAUUCAUCAUACUAUACAACUUGCAUGAUUCCAAGUUUCGGUCCAAUUGAAACUUGGGUGAUGAGAAACUUUCCUUAUUUGGUAAAUUUAGACACUACCACAAAUGAAAGAAUCAAAUUCAUAUUUCCAAUAUUGUUAUCAAUGGAAUCAUAUAAGCAACAUCUUUUUUUUCCACAAAUGUCAUUGUAAGGAUAUUCUAAAAUAAAUAAAAUUAAAAACUUUUCUUUUAAUUUACAACUUUGCGGAAAAACUAAUCCUUACAAUGCAAAUGUAUACGAAAGCUUGUUGUUAUCUAUUCCUAAGCAAUUUAUCAUAACUCUUAAGCACCUACUCAAAAUUCUGAUCAUUGAACCAUGCGAUCGAAAUUCAUCUUCGCGAUAAGAAUCAACAUACUCUUUCUUUAAGUUUCUUCACUUUUCUUUGAUUCUUACAAACAUCAAUAUGUGACCCAGUUACAUCAUGUAUCAAGAAUCUUAGUAUAGAAACUUAGCAGAGUUAGAUAGUGGAUUUUACCUGAAGUAGGGUCACACUUAUUGACUUUAACAUCCUUAGGUAAAAUUGGCAGCUUCGCAACUAAUGCCCCUUCCUUUGGCAAUAUAAACAUAUGGACCCUUUGGUAAUGGUACCGGUACUAUCACAUACUUAGCUUUUUCUCUUUACCAUUUGGUCAACCGAGUUGACUAUGACCGAUCCCUUUCCAUUGGGAAGAGAAUGUUUUUUCUGGAUUUCCAGUGUCUUUAUUGUUAAUGUCCAUAAAGUUUUAGGAAGUUGAUCUUAGCAAAUAGAUAAGAUCAUUAAGGGUCUUGUCAUAGUCUGUUUCAUAGGAGUCCCAAAGGAACUCACUAUGUGACUUAGAAAGUGAUUGAACCACCAACUUUCUCAAGUCUUUGACACCCAACUCUCCCGGCUUGUCAGUAUGUGACUUCAUCUCCAAGAUGUGAGCACACCUAGACCUUGCCUUGCAAAUACAGCUUGAGUGAGCUUGAACUUGUGGGAUAGGGAUGAUAAUUGGAGGAGGUGGAGGAAGUGAAGUUCCAAGAAUUUGGGAAGAUCAUAGAUGUCUGAACUAUACAUCUUUUGGGAGAUAUUCAAGUUUAGUUGAUUUAAAGUCCUUAAUAUAACACCCAAUAUGAAAUAUUAAGGCUAGGACCCAACAACCUAUUUAUAACUGGAAGAGGGAUGUCGUAAUCCAAGUUAUAAAAUAGUUGAAGGUAGGUAAAUGACGAUUUACCAAUUUCCACCAUGAAAAACGAAAUAUAAUUAAGUUUUAAUUGGAUUUGAAACUCCUAGAUCUUUUGAGAUUCAUUGAACUUUUCAAUGGCAUGUUUCAAUCUCGAGUGUGCCCUUCAGGAUUUGUGAUUGGGAUGCCGAGGAUCACAAAACAAGGUGUGAAAUAACCAUGCAAAGUACUUGGUACUCUUAAAUGUUUAUCACCCAACCGAUGUGUCGGUAAACCACACACGCUCCACCGGCCUAUGAUUAAACUUUAAGAAACCCUUUGCCUACCUUGUUAAAUCAAGCUAGUGUGCCGGUAAACCACACACGCUCCACCAACCGACUUAAGCAAAGUGCCAAGUGUAAUUUCAUGGGUUAGCACCUUAUUCACAUUUUCCUAAGUAACUAAGAUUGGGAAUUAUAAGUGUUUAGUUACUUAGUAUUUAUCAUUAAUACUUUUAAUGAAGGGAGAACUUAUAGUCUUUGUCCUACCCGUUCGGCUAACGACCCUCCACCAGUCAAGGAAGCGGUGGGUGAGAGUGGACACCCAUUAAACUGCCAUUUUAUAGGCAGUAACCUUAUACCCCCCUUAUAGACCGGCUUCGUGAAUGAGGCCUACUAACGGUAAGACUGACUUUUCCUCUUAUACAUAUAUAUAAAUAUUAUUGACUUAUAAUAUUAUAAAGUAUAAGGAUUGAAUUUUAACUUUUAAAAUCCUAAGGGCUUAACUUGGAAUUAAAGUAUUCAUAAGAGAAAACUUUUCAAAUUCCAAAACUUGAGGGAAAGUUUUGAAACUAUUCAAAACUAAUUAAUUCCAUAACUUAUGUGUUUAAAGUAGUUUAAUUAAAAGACUCUUCAAGUUCCAUAACUAGAGCACAAGUUAUAGAAGACAUUGAACUAAUUAAUAAAAAAAUAACUUUUUUUAUUGUAACUUAUGGAACUAAUUAAGGUUAUAUUUUUUUUUAUUAUUAUUUAAUGAAGAGACUCUUGAACCUCCAUAACUUGAGGACAAGUUAUGGAGUCAUAAAACCAUUUAAUUAGAACUAGAAUCUUCAUUUUGUAACAUUUGCCAACAUUUAUGAGUUUUAUGAUUCUUAAAUGUGACUUUUCAUAUAACUUGGGGACAAGUUACAAAAAACACACUUUGGAAUCAACUCUUAGAUUAAAAUGGAUUGAAAUCAACUAUUUCACACAACUUUUCUAUUAAUCUAAGAACAAGAUAAUUCAAAUCAUCAAUCUUCAAGAAAUUAGCAUGAACAUACAAACUAAUACAAAUCUUGAAAUUAUGACAAUUAUCUUAGAAAUUGGAUUAGCAUGAACAUUACCACAUCAAAAACAAGUUUAUAAGUCCAAAAACAUCUUAGGGUAAUGUUCCUAGUCCAAUUCCAGCCAAAACAAUCGAAUAUAUGCUGUCAGGGGGUCCAACUCGUCGAGUGCACGAACCAACUCGGCGAGUCUACUGUGCAGACAACAUCAAAACUCGAUUUUUCAGCUACUUUUGCAAGUAUAACGAGAAAACAAACAUAGGCUCUGAUACCACUAUUGGAUUUUGAGCAUUCUAACACUCCUAAGUGUACAUGCAACCCUAAAUACCUUGGAUCUAUGUUUUCUCUAUUAUACAUGCAAAUAUGAACAUCCAAGGUAUUAUACUAAUCUAGCAUACAAACAGUGACUAUAACAAGAUAGAAUACAUACCUCUUUGAUGUAUAAUGUCCUCAUGAAGCUUGAGUGCCUAGUGCCCCAAGUGUGACACCUCAAAUGGUUCACACAACACCAAAUACACUUGGAAUAACUUGAGAGAAACUUGAACACUUUUAAAAUCGGCUAGCCCUUCUCUUCCUAACUUAGUGGCCGAUUUUGUCAAAGAAUAUGAUCUUAUAUAGUUGUUACAAUUAGGGUAAACCCUAAUUGUCAUGGCUUUUCAUUUCCUUGGAUCCAUGGGCUCAAAUACACCAUGGAGCAUCCAUGGAGCAUCUUAUGGGUUUUAGCCCAACUUGACAAUCCAUGGAGCAUUAGCCCACUAUACAAGUAUGGGUGAUUUACAUAAUCAACCCAUAUAUUUAAUUAGUUUUCUUUUGAUCACUUAAUUAAUUCUAGAUUAAUUCUUGAUCAAUAUUAAUUAAAUAAUCUUAUUAAUAUAUUAGAACUUAUAAUAUAUUAACAAACCUUAAGUGUUAUUUCUCUCAUUAUAGUCUAUCCAAAUGCAUGAUGCCAUGCAACCCAAAUGGACCAUGCCAAGUCGGGUCAAGUCUUACCAAUUAUAGUUAUGGACUUAGACAUUAAUCCAACACUUUCAUCCAUAUGCAUAAAUCCAAAUCACAUAAUUGAGAUAUAAAAAUGGUCAAUUUGAAGUUUUAUUGAAUCAAAUGGAUGAUUUAAAAAGUUGGGACUUUGAAAACACCAUUAAAACUUCAUAAACUAAGUUUUGUCAAGGAGAUAAACUCAGAUAUAUUAGUGUUAGAAACUUUGAAUUUAACACUAAAUUUGGAUUAAUCAUUACAUUAAACUUGGAUUAGUCAUUAUUUUAAAUAUCAAAAUUAGGACUUGAGGAUACAUUGGAAGUUAAAAACAAAGAGAUGGGAUAAUGGAUACCUUACAAACUUCUCUUAGAUGAUUUGGUGCUACGAUUAAACUAAAGGUUUAAUUUUACCUUCUAAAUCGAAAUUCCUCUUUAGAAAUUAUUUCCCUAUCUUUCCUAAUUCUCAUGCAUUCAAAAUAUAGAGUGAAAAGGAGUUGGGGAUCUAGAUCUCAUUUUUUUCAAUAUUUUGCAAGUUUGGUCCCUUAACUUCCUAAUAUUAGAGUUUGCUUAAAUUAACACCGAAUUAAUAUUUCCAACUCAGUACUUCUAACUUUUACCCUAGAAUGUUAAUUUAUCAUAAUGAAAAUGUUUUGUGCCACAUGUCAUCUUCUGCCAUCAUUUGCUACAUGUCAUUUUCUAAAAUUUUAUGCAUUUUCUAUUUUCUACUUGGCAUUUUCUGUUUUUCCACAUUUCCUUAUAAUUUAAUUAAAAGUUGACUCUAUAUUGUUAUAUAUGUAACGUAUUUGGCAUUAAUUUGGCAUUUAUGUGAUUCUAUUAAAAUCUCACAUUAAUUUCUAUACAAACAUUUAUUUUUUUUCCUAUUUUAAUCCAUCACACACUUUUUAUACAACUAAUCUUCUAUAAGAAUUACAAAUUUAUACAUUUUUUAUGAAAGAAAUCAUGAUAUCAAUCACAAUAUUUAUGUGGAAUUAUCAUACAAAAUAUAGGACAUAAUCAUGUAUAUAUAUAUGAUUUCCUAAUUAUUAUAAUGUAAUUAUUUGUAUCUGAAAUUCUUUGCAAAAACAUAAUCAACUACUUGUGCAUCUACACAAGGCUAGCAAAUUGAUUUUGUGAAGUAUAAUUUUUAUUGUGUGUUAUGUGUGUAUUUUUCUUAAAUUAGUUGACCAUUUUGUAUAAAUCAGUUCAGUAAGUCAUUGACUCCUGUUGAUGUAAGUAAAUUGUUCGAAGACUUUUGUAUGUUGGAAUGCAUACAUGGAGUUCGAUAGAAUGUCUUAAAGAAAGAACUCUUGACAUCAUUGUAGUAAAAAUCUCAGUUAUAUCAUCUUACUUAACUGAAAUGCGAGUUAAUGCAGGGGGUUUCUUUUUUAUGUUUUUGUUUUUUAUGGCGUCAUUUUCUUUUUUAUAACACUUGAUUUGAUUGGAGUGGAAGUUUAGUAUGGUUUUCUAAAAAAACGAUUUAAAAUCACCAAUUGGUUUUUGCCCCUUUUUGUUCAUUUUUUUCAUGUUUGAUAGAGGUCGUGUUUGGUAGGGUAGUUGGUCCAUUGUUUGUUCAUUAUGUGGUUUUCGAGUUUAAAUUUGCCACUAAUUAUAUCAUUAGUUUUCAAUGUUCAUUAGGUUGUUUCUUUUAUAAUUGUUGUGAUUUUUCGGUCUCAGUUAUAUCAUUUUACUUACUUGAAAUGAUUCUUGCCAAUACUGCAAGGGCAUUUCCGUCAAUAUCCUUUUUCCCCUUUUAAAUAAUCUCAUCAGCUCUUUAUAUAUUGGUUUGAAAAUAGCAAUGUACUUUUUCCGUGACGGAACUCGCAUAAUAUACAUGCCUCAUGUUCCUUUAUAUGAUUUAAUCGUUUUUCCAAUUUUUUGAAACCUCCAGAUGUUGAAUAUAACAUAUCCCAUAUGAUAGGUGAAAUUUUAAAAUCAAGAUUGAUAAUAACAAUCACUCCAAUAAUGUUUGAUGAUUUUACCAACGUACCCUCUUAAUGAUCAAAUGAGCGUAUCUGUCCUACAUAGUCGGGUUGUUUAUUACGUGGCACAAGUCCGAUUAAUUAACUUACUAACAUGUUUGUGUAGAUUGUAAAAUAAUGUUGAUUAUACUGAGAUUGAAUAACACUCAAUUUAAAAUAUAUUAAUAUACAUAAUAGUCUAUUUCCAGGCUUUGAUCCUUAAACCCAUUUUCGUUGUUAGUAAUUUAAGAUGUGCUACAUUUAUUGAUCGAUAUUUUUAUAUGGAAACUAUAUGCAGUAAUUUUUAUAAAGUUAAAGUUGAUGUAUUUGAACUUGUUUUGUUGUUUCAUGUUUCUAAACGAUUUAAACCAAACACCAUCAUUGCGUCCAAUAUCAUUGUAUUUACUAGAGGCACACUAAAAGCCUUGCCGAUUUUUGCUAUAUAUGUUUUUUUUUUUAUAUUUUAAUAAAACUAUUUAUACAUGCAAAUAUUUUCACAUCUUCUAUGGCUUUUUUAUAAGUAUUUGUUUUAUUUGUCUUUUGGUUAAUCCUGACUCUUGUAUGGAUUUUACCUACUUUUUAAUACCUAUAAAUACAUAAACAUAUGUAAUUUAUUAUUUAUGUGUUACUAUGUUGCUGAUUACAAAAGUUGUUAUUUGUUAUGUUUAUAAAUAAAUAUGUAAGUAGUUAUCACUUUAGUCUUUUGGUUGCAUUUAGUAAUAUUGUUUUAUUAAUUUACUAAUUGUUAUUUAUAAAUUAAUAUUAAUAUAUUUCUUUACAAAUUUUUAUUUAUAACUUAGUAAUAAGACAUCUAAUGUUAUAUUAAAAUAAAAGUUUUUGAAAAUUUAUAAUUCAUAAACAUUGUUUACAAUAUCUUAAUAAUUUUGUUUUAUAAUAUAUAUUGAAUUACUUACCGAUUAAUCAUUUUGUUUGUAUUUAUGUAUAAUUAAUAAGUUUACAUAAAAAUAUGAUAAACUUACCGAUACUAGAUCUAUUUUCCUAUACUUGAAUACUUCACUUUUCAUUAUAUUGGGUGCAUAUAUGCGGAAAUAUUACAUUAAUAAAAUAUUUAAUAUUUAUAAUUUUAUAUUAAACUUUUAUUUUUAAUAAAUCCGUGUAACAAGCUAAGUUAAGUCAUAGUCACCUCUAAUCUCCGUAAUUAGAAAUUUUGGCCUUUACCUUUCUAAUUUUCUAUUAUUUAACUCCAAAAUGGCUUUUUACUUGUUAUUUUUAGUAUCUCAUCUUCUAAUUCAAACCUAGAUACUAAACUACUACGAAUUAAGUCCACACUUGGUUAUUUGAAUUUAAUCAUGUGUUAUUCCUUAAUUUAUUCUCAAUUUUGAUGUUUUUGACAUUAACUUUCCCCUGUUAAUUAAAUCAAUUUCUACUUUAAUUAUUUUAAAUCUGCUAAAUUUGAAAUNAAAAGCGUUGGGGAUCUAGAUCUCAUUUUUCAAUAUUUUGACUUCCUAAUACUAGAGUUUGCUCAAAUUGACACCGAACUAAUAUUUCCAACUCAAUAACUCUAACUUUAACACUAGAAGUUUAAUAUAUUAACAAGAGAUUUUUUUAAUAUGUGGUCUAAUGACAUAUAUAAGAAACAUUAAUUCAAGUAUUAAUUAUAAAAAAUAUUAUCAUAAUUAAAUGUGAUAAAAACUAAUUAUAUGUAAUAUUAUUAGAAUUAAAUGUAAAAAAUACAUUAAUUAUAAAGAAUAUUAUUUAUAAUUAAUGUUUAUGAUAUUUAAUUAUGGUAAUAUCCCUCAUAAUUAAUACUUCAAUUAAUAUUUUUUAUAUAUGUUCAUCAUGGCACAUGUUAUAAAAACCCUAUUAGUAAUUUAGGUAAAAGUCUAAUUAGCUAUAAGUUAAGUCAUAGUCACAUCUAAUCUCUAUAAUUAGAAAUUUUAAUUCUUUACCAUUUUAAUUUUUUUUAUUUUAUUCCAUUAUUGGNNNNNNNNNNNNNNNNNNNNNNNNNNNNNNNNNNNNNNNNNNNNNNNNNNNNNNNNNNNNNNNNNNNNNNNNNNNNNNNNNNNNNNNNNNNNNNNNNNNNNNNNNNNNNNNNNNNNNNNNNNNNNNNNNNNNNNNNNNNNNNNNNNNNNNAUAUAUAUAUAUAUAUAUAUAUAUAUAUAUUGGAUUAGGUGUCUAAGUCAAUAAUUAAAUUAGUAUAAUCUUGAAUUAUUAACAAAGUCCUUUUAGGUUGCCCUCAAACCUAGUAAUUGAAUAGAAUGACUUUUAGAGAGGGAGACUAAUUUAUUGAUUUAUUACAUGAUUAAUAAGUAGCAAUAAAUGAAUUUAUUAUGGAAAUAAUAUAUUAAUUAAAAGUAGUAAUAUUUAAUUAAUAAUUAAUUAGAUUUAUUUUAUGAUUAAUUGUAUUAAUUAAAAGUGCAAUUGUUCAAUAGUUUAACAAGAAAGAGUCCAGAACCUUCCUUGGAAGGAGGUGGACAAAAUGAGGGUAUUCCAGAACAUCUAGAAUAUUUCUUGCAAAUAAAUAGGAAGCUGGAUAAUUACCAAAUUUAAAUAAAUAUUAUUUUAUUAAUUUGGGGUUAUCUAGGGUUUCCAAGUUGCACUAUAAAAGGAUCCAUUGAGCUAUAAUUUUCGGCUACACAACUCCUUCUACUUUAGAGAUAGCCGAAAGUUGACAUCUUUUCUUCUCUCUCAAAAGCUUCUUGUUGCUAGUGUUGGGUGUGAACCAUCAGAUGCAAGACAUUUGUGUUGUUAGCUUCCAAGUUAUUGAAGAAAUGAUUCUUGAUUGUUUACUACAACAAUCAAAAUGUAUGUUUUACGUUCUAAAAUUUUCGAAAUUACCUAGGGUUAGUGUGUUCUUGUUGUUCAAUAGAAUGUUACAUCAAUAAUGUUAUGACUUAGAACUUUAGGUUGCAUGUACCUGUAAGUGUUAAAGACUUAUACGCGUUAAUACAUGUAAAACCCAUCAAUGGUAUCAUACCCUAUGUGUGUUUAAGAAUUGAAUAUACAUUGCUUGAACUUGAACAAGGAGGAUAAACAAAAUCGUCAUUAUGUUUCGACACCAUGACGUGGUAUCUUCUACCAAGACGUAGUGAUUUGCGAAUUCGUGUUCUUUUUCGCUCAACCACGACGUAGUGGAUGAUCAGAUUGCUAAAAUAGGUUUUUCUUACAUUCAAAAAUUGAUUAGGAUAAUUACCUUAGAUAAUGUUUUUAAUUAUGUAGAACUGAAUAAUUAUCUUUUCUAAUCAUAUAUCCUUAUCUUGAAUUUAUGAUUUAUCCUUGUGUUUUAAUUAUAUUUAAUUAAAGGAUACAAAUCAAAAACAUAAUUGGUUUAUUUUAAAUUAAAUUAAUUCCUUAAUUUCGAAAAUUUAAUUUAAACCUUGUAUUUUUGAAAAAUUUUAAAAUACACCUUAUAUAUAUAUAUAUAUAUAUAUANNNNNNNNNNNNNNNNNNNNNNNNNNNNNNNNNNNNNNNNNNNNNNNNNNNNNNNNNNNNUACAUACAUAUAAUAUUAAAAGUUAAUUACUAUAUGUAUAAGAUUAAGUCAGUCAAAUUGCUAGUACACCUCAUUCACGAAGUCAUACUAUAAGGAGAGUUUAAGGAAGCGACCUAUAAAAUGACCGUCAUUGGGUACCCAUUCUUACCCAAUGCUCUCUUGUGUGUUGGAGGGUCGUUAGCCGAACAUAUUUUAUAGGACAUAACUUCAUUAAUAAGUACAAUGACAUAAAAUGUAACUAAACAUAUUUUAUAAAAUCUCACUCUUUGUUACUUUAGGAAAAUGUGAAAAAUAUGUUAAUCCAUAAAAUUGCACAUUAUACUUUAUAGUAGUUAGUGGAGCGCGUUUGGUUGACUGACACGUUAAUAAUGUCUAUAAAGAGUAAUAAUGGACAUCUUGAAAAUUAUUGUUGAUUAAUGGAGCGUGUGUGGUUAACCGAUACAUUAAAAAUGAGAUGAUAAAUGACAUCAAGAGUGCCAAGCUAAUUUUUAUGGUUAUUCACAUAUUGUUUGUGAUCCUCAGUAUCCAUGACACAAAUAGAAUAGCAUAAUCUGAGAUUAAAAAUGUCAUUGAUAGGUUUAAUGAAUCUCAAAAGAUCUAGGAAUUUCAUAGUUCGAAAUUGGUGAAUUGCUUUUACCUACCUUCAUAAAUUUGCAAUAAUAUUACAACAUCCCUCUUCUUAGUUGUGAAUUGUUAUUUUAGAUCCUAUCCUUAAUCAUUUAUUAUGGGUUAAGAUAUUAAGGAUAAUUGUCAUCUAACUAAAAUUGUUCUUCUUUUUCUCUAUAGAUGUCUACCCCUGUUGAUGCUUCUGCUCCAUCAUCUUCUACCCACCACUCGGGUUUCUCCCUACUCUCCAUCGUCUCCAAAGUGACUUUUAAUGGCUCCAACUAUAAUGGUUAGAUGCACAACAUUAGAAUGGCUCUUCUCUUUGAGGGCAAAGAAUACGUCGUUGAGGAGAAACUCAUUGAAGUCGAUGAAGCUACUAUUACUCCUGGACAACUAGCCUCCUAUAGAAAACACAAUGACGAUGCAACAAAAGUUGCUUGCAUCAUGGUCACCACAAUGACUCCUUGCAGAGGUUCUAUGGGGACUAUUCGCAUUUUGAAAUGAACAAUGACCAUGUGGAAAAGUACCACAAGAGAUCUCGUCAAGAGAAGUUUAAAGUGGCCAAGUCCCUCAUGGCUUGCAAAAUGAAAAAAGAAGAGUCUGUCUGUAACCACAUGCAGAGAAUGCAAAGAUAAGUGGAGCGCCUGGUUAAGAUCAAUAUGCACUUUGAUGAGGAGUUGGCCAUUGAUAUGAUCUUAAACUCCUUGCCAAGUUGUUAUGAUCAGUUUAUAUUAGCUUAUCGUUUGAACAACUUAGAAACCACAUUAGCCCAACUCCACAACUUGCUACAAACAAAUGAGUUAGGAUUAAAAGGGAAAAAUGUGGAAUGGUGAAGCCAUUGUUGGCAGGUACAUACAUUAUUCAAACUAAUAACUCACCAUCUACUCAUUCUUGGGUCCUUGAUACAGGAUGUGGAUUUCACAUUUGUUCUAAUUUGAAGGGGCUAAAAGAAAGUGAGGAGGUGGAGCAUGGAAGGAUGAAUCUGAUCAUGGGAAAUAGGCGAUCUUCUCAUGUUACCAAGAUAUGGACUUAUCAGCUCGAGCUUAGUAGUGCUGUUAGGAUUAGUUUAAUUGAUUGUUGCUACUCAUCAAAAAUGAUGUGAAACAUUAUUUCAUUUCAUGCAUUGUUUAGACAAGGUUUCACAACGCUUUUAAUGAUUUGAGUGGUUCAAUUUUAGUUUACAAAAAUGGUGUUUUUUAUAUUUGAAGCUUUACCUUGUAAUAGUGUGUAUGAAACUGUGACUUGUGUUGAUAGCUUAGGCAAUAGUGUAUUUCAUAUUGAUUCAUCUAAGGGUCUAGAGAAAGCAUGAUUGUGGCAUUGCCGUCUUGGGCACAUUAACAAGAAACGUAUCGCCCAACUCCAAAAGGAUGGAGUCUUGGAAUCUUUUGACCUAAGGUCAAAUGAUGAAUGCGAAUCUUGUCUUUUAGGCAAGAUGAAAAAUCACCCUUCAGUGGAUCUUGUGAAAGAGGUGAGGGUUUGUUGGACCUCAUACACACAGAUGUGUGUAGACCCUUCAAGUCCACCACUAGAGAUGCUAAUCGAUUUUAUGUAACAUUUACAUAUGAUUAUAGUAGAUAUGGCUAUGUUUACUUAAUCAAACAUAAAUCAAAAACCUUUGAAAAGUUCAAAGAUUUUAAGCAUUUAGUCGAGAAUCAAUUAGGCAGGAAGAUAACGAAGCUCCGAUUUGAUAGAGGAUGAGAGUAUCUUAGUAUCGAGUUCCACCACUACCUCAAGAAAUGUGGAAUAGUUUCACAACUGACUCCUCCUAGGACACCACAACUUAAUGGUGUGGCUGAGAGGCGCAAUCGAACCUUGUUGGAUAUGGUUGGUUCCAUGAUGAGUCGAGCCACUCUUUCCUUUUUCCUUCUGGAGGUAUGCCUUAGAGACAUCUGCACAUAUCCUCAAUCUUGUCCUUACUAAGAUGGUUUCCAAAAAACUGUUGGGUUUUGAGCAUUCUAACACUCCUAAGGUAUACAUGCAACCCUAGAAACCUUGGAUCUAUGUUUUACUAUGAUACAUGCAAAUUUGAUUUUCCAAGGUUUUUAACCUAUGUAUCAUACCAUGGGGAACUUUUAAACAUAAAUGCUAGAAGAAGAACAUACCUUUUGUAGUUUGGAUUCCUUGAAAACCUUGUGAGCCUAGUACCUCAAGCGUGAUGCCUCAAAUGUCUCACACAACACUACAAAUCUUGGAAUAGACUUGAGAGAAGUUCACUAACACCUCAAAAUCGGAUAGCCCUCUUGUUCUUCACUUAGUGGCUGAUUUUUCUUUCCUUGGAGCUUCUUAUAUAGUUGUAGCACAAGUAGGGUUACACCAUGUAAACCUUAAUUGUCAUGGAUUUUCAUAUUCCAUGAUCCGUGGGUUUGUAACCUCCAUGGAUUAUCCAUGGAGCACCUUAUGGGUUUUAGCCCAAUCCAUACAAACCAUGGAUCAUUAGCCCACUAUAUAAGAAUAGAUUAUUUACACAAUCAGCCCCAUAUAUUUAUUUAGUCUCUUUUUGAUCACUUAAUUAAUUCCAAAUUGAUUCUUUGAUCAAUACUAAUUAAAUAAUAUUAUUAAUAUAUUAGAACUUAUAAUAUAUUAAUAAUCCCUAAGUGUCCUUUCUCUCAUUUAGUCUAUCCAAGUGUUGCAAUGCCAUGCAACCCAAAUGGACCAUGCCAACCAGGUCAAGUACAUCCCAGAAAUAGUUAUGAACUUAGACACCUAAUCCAACAGUCUCCCACUUNAUAUCUGCAAAUAAAUUCAGGAACCGAUCAGCAAUCGUAGCUUUUUCAAGGUCUUGCGGAACUAAGAUGAUGAUGAUGAUACGCCAUUUAAGAUAAGUGAUCAUAUAAUCCUCUAUUCUAGAUAUCAGCUGAAAAAUACAUGGAACAAUGUAUUACUUGUUGUCCAACAGUUUGUUUCCCGAUUUCCGAUUUGUUUGACAUAGAACUUAAUUGAACACAUCAACUUAGUUCUGACCGGGCCCGAUACAUGGGUCAAAACAAAAUCAUCGAGGGGCCCAGAUAUCAGCUUCUAAUCCAAGAAGGAACAGAUAAACUUCGACUCAUAUGUUUGUUCUACCACUCAUUGAAUUACACACAAAAGUACGUUUUAUAACAUCGAGUUAC